AACGCACAUUGCGCCCGGCAGUAAUCUGCCGGGCAUGCCUGUCCGAGCGUCAUUUCAACCCUCGAGCCUAAGUUUUUGAAACUCAAGGAUCGGUGUUGGGGCGCUACAGCGGUCUUCGGAAAGCUGUAGGCUCUGAAAUACAGUGGCGGUCCCGCCGCGGCGCCUUCUGCGUAGUAAACUAUAAGCUCGCUCAAGGUCCCGGCGAAGGCCAGCCGUCAAACCCUCUAAAUUCUUAUGGUUUGACCUCGGAUCAGGUAGGGUUACCCGCUGAACUUAA
rnacentral:misc_RNA from 1 species